rnacentral:rRNA from 1 species
CGAUGCCGCGUGAGUGAAGAAGGCCUUUGGGUUGUAAAGCUCUUUCGUCGGGGAAGAAAAUGACUGUACCCGAAUAAGAAGGUCCGGCUAACUUCGUGCCAGCAGCCGCGGUAAUACGAAGGGACCUAGCGUAGUUCGGAAUUACUGGGCUUAAAGAGUUCGUAGGUGGUUAAAAAAGUUGGUGGUGAAAUCCCAGAGCUUAACUCUGGAACUGCCAUCAAAACUUUUUAGCUAGAGUAUGAUAGAGGAAAGCAGAAUUUCUAGUGUAGAGGUGAAAUUCGUAGAUAUUAGAAAGAAUACCAAUUGCGAAGGCAGCUUUCUGGAUCAUUACUGACACUGAGGAACGAAAGCAUGGGUAGCGAAGAGGAUUAGAUACCCUCGUAGUCCAUGCCGUAAACGAUGUGUGUUAGACGUUGGAAAUUUAUUUUCAGUGUCGCAGCGAAAGCAAUAAACACACCGCCUGGGGAGUACGACCGCAAGGUUAAAACUCAAAUGAAUUGACGGGGACCCGCACAAGUAGUGGAGCAUGUGGUUUAAUUCGAAGAUACGCGCAGAACCUUACCAACACUUGACAUGUUCGUCGCGACUCUAAGAGAUUAGAGUUUUCGGUUCGGCCGGACGAAACACAGGUGCUGCAUGGCUGUCGUCAGCUCGUGUCGUGAGAUGUUGGGUUAAGUCCCGCAACGAGCGCAACCCUUACUUUUAGUUGCCAUCAUUUAGUUGGGAACUCUGAAAGAACUGCCAGUGAUAAGCUGGAGGAAGGUGGGGAUGACGUCAAGUCCUCAUGGCCCUUACGUGUUGGGCU